UCCUCUUUGGCUCUGGGAAUUUCUCCUCCCACGUGGAGGCCCCCACAGCAGUGGACACCACCCAGCCAGGCCCACCUGACCGGUCAGGCUCAAACCCUCUGGUACCCGCCCCACCCAUAGGACCAGGUGUAAACCAGGCAGCGACACCCCAGACGUGUGGUCUUGGUCAGCUCCCCUGGGCUCCUCUCCCUCCAGCUGGCCCUUCUCUGCCCAGGAAACAGUUUUCUGAAGAGUUCUCCGUUCUCGAGCCUUCCAGCUGCGUGGGAGAGAGUUGACCCCAAGGCUGGGACCACAAGAGGCCAGGGAGGGUGGGCCUGGGAUCUGCAGCUCACGGGCUGUGUGACUGUGGGCACGAGAUUUCAUUUCCUGAUUCAUAAAGGUGGGGACCGAUCAAAGCUACUCCUUGGACCUUUGUGAAGAUUAAAUGAGUUCAACACGGAGCAUUCUUGACCCAUGGGCCAUCCCCAGAUGAGGCUGCAGCAUUGCCCCGUGUGCUCUCAGCUGGUGCCAGUGUUGUCUGGAACUGUCUGGACCUACCUGGAAACUGAGUAUUUCUCUGAAGAAGUCUGCAGCCCUUUGGCAGCGUGGCUGCAGAUGGAAGGAAGGAAACAGUUCGCCCUGGAGAAUGGCUAGGCAGCACCUCUGAGCCGAGCAUCCCACCCGCUCUGACUGGCCCACAAUCGUGGGGCCAGUGGUAUCUCAGAGCCCUUCUGUAAGGAGGUCUGGUCCCCCGGCAUUCAGGGGUUCUGAGCUGCUCAGUUCUGGGAUAUGGGGAAAAGCCAGGAUUCUCCACCAUGCUGGCUGACGCCAUUUCUCUGUUCACCAGACCUACAGGGUUUUGUCACUUACAGUGAUUGCCAUGGUCUGAAUGCUUGUGUCCUCCUCGAAAGUUCUGACAGCUCACUUCAUUUCACGUGGUGUGCAAGCUUCUGUCAAACAACGGAACAAACUAUGAGAACCACUUCCAGCCACUGCUUCUGCACACUUCUCUGCUAAGUGAGUCUCUGCUGUGUGAGUCUCAUUGGUAAAACUACCCUGAUCUAACAUUCUGUUACCUCCUUUGUGGUCCAACACUCCAAGAGUCCACGGCCUCAGACGCCCCUGGGUUUCUGCUGAUGUAAAUUGGCAAAAACUUGCAUUCAGUGUGUAUGUGGCUCCUCUUGGGUCUCACUGUGUGUUUAUCCCUCUGCACCCAACUCUAGUCAUGGCUCUGGGAAUAAUGAGGGUCGGUGGAGGUGGAUCUCAAGGGAGAUCUGUCAUCUUGCAAGGCUGUUUCCUCAAGUGAAGCCAUCACAGAUCUUUGGGCACAGUUUUACUCACCUCAGACUCUAAGGAAGAGUCACUUCUGCUUACAGGGAGACUCAGGAAGGUCUAAUGUUCAGGGGACUCAGAGUCAGAGAAAUCCACCCUCUCCAGUUCUCGAGGUCUCAUUCUUUCCAAAUAAAUGCCUUAACUUUGACUUAAGAGAUUUAGUAAGACAUUUAAUUAUUCUUUAGUUGUAAUUCAUUAGCCUGCAAGAUCAAAUUUGUACUCUGCAUUUAAAAAAAAAAGUUGACUCUACAGCUACAAGAACUAAAAUGGUUUUUUUAGGACAGCUAUAGAAGGGCUCUGGUUCUCUGUCUAUACCUUCAGCUGAGCACUUAAGGCCACAGCUUGUCAUUUUCUUUGUCAGUUCCCCAGUGCAAUAAGCAGCAGCCACCCCAUGCCACAUCCUUGUAUGCAUGGUUUCCAUCCACAUCCUAAUGUCCUAUUGCAAGAGCCCCCUGGUGUCUGAAACCCAGGCUUGUGAUGGGCACUGCAUCGCAGAGACCUCAAGGUAAUGAUUUUACCAGUGACAAUGUUUAUAGAUUAUCUGCAUCCUGCUUCCCACUCCUCACGUGGUCCUCACUGACAUCAGACAAAACCUGGUCUGUCCAAUUACUAACUCCAGAUUCCCAUCUUCAAGGUUCUGCCUUCCUGGAAACACUGCUGGUACCAGGAAUGGUUGGUCGGGAACACUAAAGUCACUCUAGGUAUUUUGGGUAGAAGGAGAUUCAUUGCAGGGAACUCUAGGCUUACAGAAAUGUUGAGAACUUUGGGGACUGAAGGUUAUUUCAGGAGAUCUGGAAGUGCAGGGAUAGAAGGGUAGCAUCCAUUGCCCCCUGAUAACUGUACCACUGACAUGGCUAGAAACCACCCCAGUGAUCCCAGCUGCUUGUAGCACCUCAGGGUGAUUCUCAAACUGACUCCAGAAGCCAAGGUACACUGCUGCCAAUGACUGCAGGGGCCUCUGCAAAACGGACGUUGAUGAAUGAAACAAAGUGUGAUCUACCCAUAGCAGGGAAUGUUAUUCAUCCUUAAAAAGGAAGGAAAUCCUGCAGCUCACGCCUGUC
rnacentral:lncRNA from 1 species